rnacentral:siRNA from 1 species
GGCUUGCUUUUUGGAGUGAUCCUA